rnacentral:lncRNA from 1 species
UUUUGUUAUUCAUGAUAAGCCAUUUUCAAACAUACCUGAGUUAUAUAAUGCUAAUAAUGCUAAUAAGGUAACUCUUGGUGAGCCUCAAGAUAAUCUCGGAAUGGGGGCUGGUUGCUAGAGGAACCAAUCACUUGAUUAGAGAAUUGGAAUUUUCAGUCCCUCACCCUGACUUCUGGAGAGGGAGAGGGAUGGAGAUUGAAUUCAAUCACCAAUGGCCAAUGAUUUAAUCAACCAUGCCUGUGUCAUGGAACACAGGAAACCUAAACAACAUAAAAAUCCUUAACAACAGGGUUUGGUGAGCUUCUGGAUUGGUGAACACAUUGAGGUGGUAGAAGGCUAGAGUUCAGGAGAUGACAUGGGAAGACAUGGAAGCUUUGUGUCCCUUCCCAUAUACCUUGCUCUCUGCAUCUCUUCCAUUUGGCUCCUCCUGAGUUUGAUUAUUGGCGUGCCUCUCAACAUCCAGCAGAAUGUGGGAAUAUUGCUGAGUUGAGUAAAUAUUUCCUUCCAUAAAGGUAAAUAAGCAUCUCAAGAGCAAGUUUCUACAUUUUGUAUUUCCCUGUUUUAUUUCUGUAAAAUUGUGCAACCAAGAAUUAUGACCUACUGAUAUUAGAAUAAAAUUUGCAGAAGUUUGA